UACGUAGGUGGCAAGCGUUGUCCGGAUUUAUUGGGUUUAAAGGGUGCGUAGGCGGUCUGUUAAGUCAGUGGUGAAAUACGGCAGCUCAACUGUCGAGGUGCCAUUGAUACUGGCGGACUUGAGUACUGAUGAGGUAGGCGGAAUGGACGGUGUAGCGGUGAAAUGCUUAGAUAUCGUCCAGAACACCGAUAGCGAAGGCAGCUUACUAAGGAGUAACUGACGCUGAUGCACGAAAGUGUGGGGAUCAAACAGG
rnacentral:misc_RNA from 1 species